rnacentral:rRNA from 1 species
AUUGAACGCUGGCGGCAGGCCUAACACAUGCAAGUCGAACGAGCGGCGGACGGGUGAGUAAUGUCUGGGAAACUGCCCGAUGGAGGGGGAUAACUACUGGAAACGGUAGCUAAUACCGCAUACCAUCGGAUGUGCCCAGAUGGGAUUAGCUAGUAGGUGGGGUAACGGCUCACCUAGGCGACGAUCCCUAGCUGGUCUGAGAGGAUGACCAGCCACACUGGAACUGAGACACGGUCCAGACUCCUACGGGAGGCAGCAGUGGGGAAUAUUGCACAAUGGGCGCAAGCCUGAUGGAGCCACGCCGCGUGAGUGAAGAAGGUUUUCGGAUUGUAAAGCGCUUUCGUAGGAGAGGCGUUAUCUUACGAGAAAGCAACGGCUAACUCCGUGCCAGCAGCCGCGGUAAUAC